UGUUCUUUUAGGGAAAACCUGUCCUGCGGGAUGGAGGAUGUUCAGUUGUUCUUGUUAUUUCCUCUCUACAACAACUGGCUCCUGGGAUGCAGGCAGAACGGACUGCAGGAAGAGAGGAGGAGAUCUGGUGGUGAUAGAUGAUGAUGAUGAACAGAAAUUUGUUCUUGCGUUGUCUGAGAAGUCACCAUGGAUUGGUUUGAGUGAAGAAACGGAGGGAUCCUGGAAGUGGGUUGAUGGCACUCCUCUGAGUUCUGAACUUAAAAAAUUCUGGGGACAAGGCCAGCCUGAUAAUGCUUUUGGAGGUGAAGCUUGUGCUCAGAUCUGGGAAAACUACAAGACAUGGAAU